CGGGGUCAACUCGGAGGAAGGUGGGGAUGACGUCAAGUCAUCAUGCCCCUUAUGUCCAGGGCUUCACGCAUGCUACAAUGGCCGGUACAAAGGGCUGCGAAACCGCAAGGUGGAGCGAAUCCCAAAAAGCCGGUCUCAGUUCGGAUUGGGGUCUGCAACUCGACCCCAUGAAGUCGGAGUCGCUAGUAAUCGCAGAUCAGCAACGCUGCGGUGAAUACGUUCCCGGGGCUUGUACACACCGCCCGUCAAGUCAUGAAAGUUGGUAACACCCGAAGCCGGUGGCCUAACCGUUGUGGGGGAGCCGUCGAAGGUGGGACUGGUGAUUAGGACUAAGUCGUAACAAGGUAGCCGUAGGAGAACCUGCGGCUGGAUCAC
rnacentral:rRNA from 1 species